CGGGGCGGGCGCCGGGGGGGCCUGCCGGGGGGGCCCGGGCGGGGCCUCCGGGGCGGGGGGGGGGACGCCCCGCUUCUGCGGCCCCGGGACCGAGACGGAGAAUUCUGAGCGCGCGACGCAGGGAACCAAGCCCUUCUGGUCGUGGCCUCGAACCCGCCCAGGCGACCGGGAGGAAGAAGGCUGCUCUCCCGCAGGAGGACCUGAGCUUCUCCCAACUAGGACCGGCUCCGUGGCUCCUGUCUCUUAGAAGAAAGCCCAACAUGAGGAACCUCCACUCCAAGCAGUUGCGGAAAGAACACAGGGCACCCUCUCCACCGAGCUCCGGGUCAAGGUCGCAUCUUUCCGACAUUCUCCCCGGGGGAACUGCUGAGAGGUGAGAUCUCCCCGCCGGACCCGAGGUUUGGCUAGCGAGUGCAAUGCCGCGGCCCGCCGGCAGACGGUGCUCGAGGAACGGCCAUAAAGCGCCUUUGCUUUCCCGGUUUCCCUCCCUUCUGUCGAGCACAGGAGCCACUGAUGAUGGGAGGAUGGCCCCGUGUCUGCUCAGCAGCACUGACGGACCAGUUCAGCAGGCGCUCAGGCCCCACUCUGUCCACCAGGCGACUCCUUCUGCAGUAGACCAGCCCUGGGCUCCCACACCUUCUGGUCCGUUGGGGGCUACUUCGGUGCACCAGCCCGGGCCACGCCCUCCACGCUGUCUAGCCCGGGGCCAGGGUCGCCUCUACAUCUGCUGAGACCGCUGCACAAGUCCACAACCAGGAGGGCGACGCUGGACACUGACCUGGGAGGGACACUGGGCCAGAGGCUCGGGGAAGCCCGUGUCUGGACAGCCCACAGCUGGCCCCGCCCAGGGGGGCGCGAUGCCUGUGGGCGCGAUGCAGGCUGAUAGCUCGGCCCCUGAGCCGGCACUCCCCAAACGCGCCUCCAGGUAAAGGACCAUCAUCGUCACUAAUAAAAUAUGGCCCCGUGACUCAGAACACCAGGCUGAGAUCUUUCCGCACUAGAGGGCGCCAGAGACCGCGGGGGUCGCACCGGCCCCCCGCGGCUGCCGCAGUCUGUCCGCCAGGGGGCGCGAGCGCUGGCCAUGCGCGGGCCCUUCCGGUCAGCGGUGAUGGGCAUAGAAGGGUCUAGUCCCAAGAGGACCGUGGGUCUCGAGGUUAGGGGUGCUCCUCACCCCAGAGGACUCAGAAAGUUAGGAGUCAAGAAACAAAGGCUUUGGGCAUGAACUAAUGAGUGACCAGCAAAAAAAAAAGAUAUUUUAAAAAUAAGGUAGAUUAGAUUUGAAGAUUAUGCAGUAUUGGGGCCAUACUUAGACUAAAAAAUUAUUCACUGGGCAUUCUGUGUUUUAUCUGCCAUCCUGCUCAUGAAAGAUGAACAAAAGAGAACCGCGAGGAUUUUUGUCUUUUUCUUUGCUCCUUGCUGUGUGUGCGUUUGUAUUUAUCAGCCACGUUCUCUUCUUCUCAGUAUUGCCUUAUGUAGGAGCUGUCAGAGGUUAGCAGAAUGUUCCGUGGAACUGUGAGUGGAUCUGAGGACCAAUUAACACAAUUGGCUGUGAUUAUAAUGACUCUUGAGAGCAGGUGUUUUCCAUUUUGGACGGAGGGUGCUAUCUCGGGGUCAAGGAUGGGGCACCCAAACGGACACCGAGGUUUCUGUGCAGCGGGUGCCAUGCCGGGCUCUGCCAGCAGAUGGUGAUGGAGGAACGCGCAAGGCCACCGCGGCCAGAAAGCGCUUUUCCCGCUUUCCUUCCUUUUAUUGAGCACAGGGGCCAGUGACGGUGUGAGGAUGGCCCCGGGUCCGCUCAGCAGCAGCGCUGACCGACUGUCUAGGACACGUGUGGCCCCCAUCUCAGCACCGAGGCCUCCCCUUUGGCAGGGGGGGUG
ensembl:lincRNA